UUAAUGGCCUCCUUAGAGGCCAUGAACAUAGAGAUUUAGAGAGUA
rfam:Felis catus isolate Cinnamon breed Abyssinian chromosome B3, whole genome shotgun sequence.